rnacentral:lncRNA from 1 species
CAGCAAAUUAACAUAUAUAUCAAUCACAUCACAUGUUUAUGAUUUUCUUAGGGGGUGCAAACACCUAAAGUCCACUCUCUUAGCAAUUUUUAAGUACAAUUUAUAGAGCUGUAGUCACCAUGAUAUACAAUAUAUUUCUUGUCUGUGGAAUUUUGUGUCCUUUGACCAACAUCUCCCAAUCUCCCUACACCCAUAGCACUUCAUUUUAAAUGCAUAGAUAUGACCUAUUUUUCUAAAAACAAUAGUUGUUUCAUAAUGGUGCUGUUACAUUGUAUUACUGAAAGGAUAUUACCACAUUCAUUACCAAAAAUAAUAAAAGGCAUUUAUUGCCUGAUAAUAGCCACUCCCUCAUAUACCCAGUGGCAUGGUUAUAUAAAUUAAUACAGAUUACACCCUUAAUUAAUUUUGCCACUGAAUAUCCACAGAGAAAAAGAAAGCUUAAGGGUAAAAAUAUAUAGUCAUUUUGAAGUACUUCAGAAUCACUGUCUUCUUAAAAUAUUUCCAAAUACUAAAGGAAAUAGUAGACAUUACUAAAGUCAUGGCUAUAUUCUGAGCAUACAUAUAUUUGGAGAAAGAAUUAUCUAUGCUUAGGCGUAUAGGCAUUAAUUUACUAAAUGGGAGGAAGUUUUCUUAGUGAAAGCCUACUUUAAGGCCUGAAUUGUUCAGUAUUAUUUCUUAUAUGGUCAUAUUUAGCUGGAAUUUUUUUUCCAAAUUUCCACUCUGAUUCACUGUGACAAUACACUGCAUGAGCCAUAUAAAAUGACAUAUAAUGUUUUUAAAUUUUUGUUCCAGUGUUUUAAAUUUUUUGGAUAAUGCUAUGAGUUGAAUUAUUUUAAAAAUUAGUUGGCUCAUGCCUCUGCUAAGGAAAGAUGAAACAAUGAUACCACCUGAGGAGGUUUAAUUUUAUAGUCCACAACUGAACUUUCAUUUUCAGAUAUGACGUGUGGCAUUUAUAGUAUGAAGUUAAGAACAAAAAUUAAAAAUGCUUCUGUUUGACGACUACUAUUUGCACUUCCCUUCUGCUGAGGUCACUCUCCAUGGCUUUGAGGUCUGCUUUCCAAGGGGAAAGAGAAUGGUUUCCUGCCUAAAUUCAGAAUUGAUGCUCACUGACCCAAUUCCUUGUGUUCCUUCUAACUCCUGUGUAGUCCAUACCCUCGCUUAGCUUCGAUAUGCGAAAUUGUUCUUCCUGUAAUCCAUUUCGAAAAUAACUUUCUGCUGGGCCUUGCUGGACUUGGAGAGGUUGCCGUGACUUUCUCUGAAAACUGAAAAAAUAAAUAAAUAAAUAAAUAAAGGUCUAGUACUAUGACCAUUGCGAAAUUUAAAAGUGUCAAAAUGACCGGGUA